UUUAAAAAAAAUAUUUUUUAUUUUAGUAAUUUUGAAUUAAUAUCUUUUUUUUAUAGUUAAUUUUACUGUAUAGGAUAAUUUUUAUUUAUUAUAAAGUAAUUUUUGUUUAGUGUACCUUUUGCAUCAGGGUUUAUUAAAAAUAUAAAAUUAUUUUUUUUUCCCGAAAUCUUAUGAUUUAAUGAAAAAUGGAAGUUUAUGUUUCAAAAUAAUUUUUAAUUUUUUAUUAGAGGUUAUAUGCUUUUCAUAUAAGUUAAUAUCUGGUUUAUUAAUAUUUGAAUUUAAUUCAUUUUCAAUUAGUUCUUUUUUUAUUUUAUUAUUUUGAAUUUUUUGUUACAAAAUUUUUGGGGAUAAGCUCAUUUUUUUUAUUAAAAGUUUUUUUUUCUUGAAUAUUAUGUAGGAUUAAUAAUUUCCGUCUUUAUUUUGUUAUAAUUAUUUUUUCAUUUUUAUGAUUUUUUAUUUUCUUUAAUUUUUUAUUAAUAUUUUAUAUUUAAUUUUUUAUUUUAUUUGAUAAUGAUAAAAUUAGUAAUUUUUUUAAUUUAAAAAUAGGAAUUCGGCAAAUUUUAUUUUCACCUGUUUAACAAAAACAUGGUCUUUAGAUUUUUAUUUAAGAUCAGGCCUGCCCAUUGAUAUUGAAAUAUUAAAAGGCUGCGGUAUUUUAACUGUACGAAGGUAGCAUAAUCACUUGUCUUUUAAUUGGAGGCUAGAAUGAAUGGUUUGAUGAGAAAUAAUCUUUCUUUUUUUAAUAAAUUUAAAUUUAAUUUUUUAGUUAAAAAGCUAAAAUUUUUUUAUAGGACGAGAAGACCCUAUAGAAGUUUACUGUAUUAAUAAUUUUUUGCUUUAUGUUAUUAAAGUAUUUUUUUAAAUUAUAUAGUUUUGUUGGGGUGACAUGAAAAUUUUUUUAACUUUUUAUUAUUUUUUCAUUAAUUUAUGUUUUUUUUGAUCCAGUAUUUAUUGAUUAAAAGUUUAACUUACCUUAGGGAUAACAGCGUAAUUUUUUCGGAGAGCUCUUAUUGAUGAAUAAAGUUUGCGACCUCGAUGUUGAAUUAAGAUAAGAUUUGGGUGUAGGAUCUCAUUUUCUUGGUCUGUUCGACCAUUAAUUUCUUACAUGAUUUGAGUUCAGACCGGCGUGAGCCAGGUCGGUUUCUAUCCUUAUUUUAUGUAAAUUAGUACGAAAGGACCGUUUACAUUAAUUAAUAUUAUUAGUUUUUGAUUAUAAUUAAAU
rnacentral:rRNA from 1 species